UUGAGCCGUAUGAGGUAGGAAACUCUCAAGUACGGUUCUGAGGGAAGAAAACUUUUCCACGUUGAUCUAUCUCGAU
rfam:Picea glauca, whole genome shotgun sequence.